AUUGAACGCUGGCGGCAGGCCUAACACAUGCAAGUCGAGCGAGCGGCGGACGGGUGAGUAAUGUAUGGGGACUUCCCGAUAGAGGGGGAUAACUACUGGAAAAGGUGGCUAAUACCGCAUACUAUCGGAUAACCCAUAUGGGAUUAGCGAGUAGUGGGGGUAAAGGCUCACCAAGGCGACGCUCUCUAGCUGGUCUGAGAGGAUGAACAGCCACACCGGAACUGAGACACGGCCCAGACUCCUACGGAGGCAGCAGGGGGGAAUAUUGCACAAUGUGCGAAAGCCUGAUGCAGCCAUGCCGCGCGUAUGAAGAAGGCCUUAGGGGUGUAAAGUACUUUCAGCGUGGAGGCGUUACCCGCAGAAGAAGCACCGGCUAACUCCGUGCCAGCAGCCGCGGUAAUAC
rnacentral:rRNA from 1 species